CUAUAAUCAUAUAUUAUUCUUAGGACCAAUUGGUAUUUCCUUCUUCUGUAUCUCCAUCCAUAUCCAUUAAACCGCCAAUUGAUGACACUCUUAAUUGAUGACACUAUUCCUUAACGCCUCAGAAACCAUUGGAUGCCUUUCCAUUCCCUCUUCAACAACAAAAGGUAUUCCCAAUCCAAAUUGAAUUUUUGGAGACUUUACAGAAGUAAAACGCUCAGUCCAAUCGAGAACAACAUCCGUUCAACUUGAACAUGCAAGUUUUAUCUCUUUCCAUUACAUUUUUCGUCCAUUGUGCUUUACUUUUCAUUCAUGGAUUUUAUUAAUUUACAUUUUCAAUUGCUAUGAUAAUGUUGUGCUCUGGGUUUUGAUUUUCCCUUCAUGAUAUCACUUUAGCCAUCAAUUGCUAUAGAUCAGAUACUGUGAUCCCAUGGUUGUCCCCUUAAUAAGUCCUUUUAACUCUCAGAAUCUCAAACCCUACCGAUAGAAUCGUUCAUCUUCUAUUCAUUAAACUUUUAGAAAAUCAACUAUAUUCUCUUAUUCCACCUUUAUUCGUUUCAUAAUGAUCGGACAUGAUUCUCUGAAUUAUUCAGCACAUUGGAAAAUCUCUGCAGCUAAUUCAUGGGAUUUUGAGAGAAUAGACAGUGUUAAAUAAGGAAUUUCAUCAACAGAUUGUAUGUGAAGCUCAAAACUCAAGUAUAUCUUGAAAGGCUUCCAACACUGUAAGGGACCUCUUUGAUUCAAGGCAUGAGUCUCUAUCUCAAUUAAAGGGUAUCUUUUAUCUUUUUGGUUCGACUCUGGCUCUGUGAAUCUACAGAUGUAAACCAUUUAAACGUUUUGUGCCAUUUAUUCCCUUACGUCAGUGAUUUAUUUAUUUUGUUUUGUUUUUUUGGAGUGUGGAGAUUAUCCUUGAUUUGUUCCCCCACUUUCUGCAUUUGGAUUAAUCAGGGGCAGCUAAUUGGCAAGUGAAUGCAUUUAUUUUUUACUCUUUUACUUAUAUUUUGAUAAGAAAUUAUGGAGUCUGUCAUCAUCACUCCAAUUCGAUUUGACAGGUAUGUUCGCCGUCUGCAAAUUUUUAUUUUUUUUUAAAAAUUGCAUGCUGACUCAUUGAUUUGUGCAUUCAACAUGAAUCAGAAAGUAGCUACCAGCUACACCAUCACCCAAUUUGAUCUCCAUUCUGCCUAUGUCUUACUCCAGCAUCCACCAAAUGUAAGGUUUGGGUGCGCAAGAAGAGUAGUCAUUUUACCGUGGAUGUACAUUUCACUAUUCUUAGUCUGUUUUCUUGGUGUUGAUUCUUGGUGUUCAAGGAAUUUUUAACUUUGCCUUUGAUCAUGACUUUCAUAUGUUUUUCAUUCAUCUUAAAGUAAAUAGUGGUAGAAAACCAGCAUGCAUGAUGAAUCGUAUCUUAGUUUCACUUCAUAUAGUAUACGAUGAACUGUAUAUUACUCUUUUUUGGUGUUGAAACCAUGAUUUUGUGUUGCAAGAGGAUGCCAAAUACACAAUUUAGUUUUUGUACAUUCAUCCAGUCUCAAUGAAACUAUGAUUUUUCCUAAUCUUAGAAUCUUACUUCAGGUAUAAUUAAGUUAACAUUCACUUCGAUGAUACGUAUUUCAUUUUCCUUGCUAACGAAAUUAACUAACCACUGAUUUUGGCAAAUUAGUUCACUCCCGUUGAUCAUGUUUUACACUUUGCUUAAACAUUCCAAAUGCAGGAAAAGAAGAUGGAAACACAGAUUACUGUCUCCUCAAAGAAGGAAAAAAAACAUGAUACAAGUCAUCAUCUACAGGCCUUUCAAUGAAAUUCGUGAUAGGGAGGAUAUAACUCCGUGGACUACUGAGAUGCAAUUCUCCCAAGAGUGGGAAGAAGUAGACUUUGUGGUGAGAAAUGAAGUCACAAGCCUGGAACACAACCUGGACGAUUGCAGGAAGAAGGAUGACACUGCUUUUAGGGGCUGGGACCACCAACUUCUGGAAAUCCUAUAACAUUCGGCGGAAAGCUUGAUAAAGAACCUAAAGUUUACCGUUUGUCAAUCUGUAUAUGCGAGCAGAUUGGUGCCAUCUCCCAUGUAUUAUUCGAGCUUAAUGCAUCAAUAUUACUCAACGAUUAACAGGGCAAGUGGGCAGUCAAAUAACUAUAUAACACAUGAUACUUUACACUCUAUAAGUCAAUAUUGUUACAAGGGUACCAAUUUUCAUAGGGGUGUGUCUAUUAUAAAAUUAUUGUUGGUAAGUUAUGUCAGUGAUCCGUUUGUUAUUUUCUGUUAAUCGUAAAUUGUCAUCGUCGUUUUGUA